AAAAUUAAAUAUGAAUCACUUCAAUGAAAUCCCCUCAGAGCAGCACCAGCUUCUCAUUUAGAGCAAUCUUUGCUUGUGUGAGGUUGGACAGAUAGGUCACCAUCAG